UACGUAGGGGGCGAGCGUUGUCCGGAGUUACUGGGCGUAAAGGGCGCGCAGGCGGUCUGGUAAGUUUGGAGUGACAGUACUCGGCUUAACUGAGCAAGGCCUUCGAAAACUAUCAGACUUGAGCACUCAAGAGGGACAUAGAAUUCCGGGUGGAGUGGUGAAAUGCGUAGAUAUCCGGAGGAAUACCAAAGGCGAAGGCAGUGUCCUGGGGAGUGUCUGACGCUCAGGCGCGAAAGCUAGGGGAGCGAACAGG
rnacentral:rRNA from 1 species